ACCGCAACAUGAAACGAAGCUCAUAACCAACAAACUAUUGUAGUUGAUUUUUUUUCCAAUCAAAUAAUGACUUAUGUUAAGCUCUCUCCUAUGGUUGUGUUCUUUCUUGCCACAUUUGUAAUGUUGUUGAUGACGAAGGGAAAAGCACAAUCGUGUAUUGGUAAAGAUUGUAGAAUAGGUGGUACACCAUGUGGUGAUGGUUGUGAUUGUGCUUCUGUAUUUCCAUUGGGUGUUAAUAAACCAGGUGUCUGUGUCCCUCAAUUAUUCCAGUUUUUCUCCUGAAUAUGAUCAUAUGAUAUGUCAAUCCCAUGAUGAAUCUAUACUUUAAAUAAACUUUUACUUUAAAUAGUUUGUUUCCAACUAAUGAGAUGGAUUUCAUUUAAUGAUGCAUGUAAAUGGGAGUGCACCUUAAAUAUAUAUUGUUACUUAGAAAAUAAUGUUAUGAGUCAUUUAUUACU